UUUUUUUUUUUUUCUUUUUAGCCAAAGGAGCCUGUGCUUUUCCCUUGUCUUGAACAAUAGAUCUUUCAAAGACAAGAAUCCAAUGACCUUCUUCAAGGCAAAACUUCCCUUCUUCCCCGUCUUCUCUAUGGCACUGUGGUCCUUGCUGGCUCUGCUUACUUUCUUCCAUACUUUGUAUUCAUGUAAUCCUCAUUACGAUAUUAAGUCAGAUUUAUUUUGUUUUCCACAUCUGUUGUUUUCAGCCCUAUUGAUGGCAUUACAUGGCAAGAUGAGCUUGGGAAAGAAAAUAACCAAAGCGUGUGGGGUUUCAGGAGUAAAUAUGGAGCUCUCUGCCUUUGAUCCAGAAAGUCCUGUUUCUCCUACAAAGCUUCCUCUAUGCAUCUUGGAAAACUCUAGAUGCUAAAGACUUGGGAAGAGAAAAGGAGACAGAACAGAUAAUAAAAAUCCUGGAAUUAAAAACAAGGACUCUUUACACAGCUCUUCAAUAUUAAUCUAAAAAUUAAAGAAAAAAGUUCAAGCGAAUUUGUGAAAAUAGCGUAAGAAAAUACAUUCAUAAAAGAAAUUGACAUACGUAACUUAAGACACAAAAUUACUGCUCAGAUUAUUGUCUGAUAGGAAAAAGAAGAAUUCUAUCAACACGAGCAUAUUAAUGUUUCUAUAAAAUUUGAAAUUUCCUGAAAUUCUCUACUAGUAUUGCAAUAUCAGAACUUGAAGAAUUUAAUUUUCUAUGAUGGUUCAUCUCCACUGACUUAGUUAUUGACUAAAGAAAGAAAUCAUUGGUAGCAAUGUGGACCUGGUUCAUUGUCUGGCUGAUUCAUAGCUCUUGACUGGCUUAACCAUAACAACUUAAAAUCUAACCGAUAUGUUUUCCUAGAAGAGCUAAUGAAAAUUCUCUGGGCAUUGAAAUCUAUCCCUAAAUGUGACUUUAAUUUUGCCUCACUAUUAUUUAAUCCCUGCUUUUCUCCAGGUAAAAAAACCAUCAAAUUGUAUGUCAGGUUUUCCCCACUUAUUUGGGUCCCCAAGAAAUUAUAGUGAAUUAUUUAAACAUUUUAAUUACAUUCUUGUUAGGCAGGAGGAGUACCAUUCCCUCUCUACAGCUCCUCUCAAAAAAAUCCGUAAGUGGAUUUAUGGGUGUGAAUGGGGAAGAAGUUGUGCAUAGUGUUUAGAAAUGUUAAAUCUGAGCUAAGAGAAAAUGAGUCCUUCUGCCAGCAGUGAAAAACCAGGGAAUCCUUUCAUUGUCACGAGCCAGUAGCCACCAGAUGCUUAGAAUUCCAUGUAUUUUAAGGACAAACCAUUCAGUGACUCCUUUGACACUCCAAGUAUGCCAAUAAUUCAAUGUAUUAGUCGGAUGCAAAUUUUAUACAAUAAGGUAUGGAAAGCAAACUGUAAUUGGGGGUGCCUGAGUGAAUGGAGCUCUAUCCUUUGACAGGGCCCAUUGUUGAACUCCAGCCUAGACCUCCGACCCGUUACUUUGCAAGGAUACAAUAGCCUUUGAUAUGAGAUGGUGGGAAACGGACUUAGAGACUCAUUUCACAUUCACUUGCAAUUCAUCAGUUUGGCGAGGACUUUUAGCAGCUUUAAUGACCACAGCAAUUGAUGGUUAAAUCAAUUUGUGCCGGUGACAGCAUGGCGGGCCUGUAGACUGUAACAAUCCAGGAUUGCACCAGGCAGAAAAGACUCUGUUAUUCAGAUGUGCAUGGCUCCUGCUCAGUUCACAGGGAGAACAACAGGGAGACAGUCUGUCACCGGGCAGGUCCCCCAAGAAUACACACAUUCACUCCAGUUGACCACACAAUGCCUAGGCUUCUUUGUAAAGUGGUGCCAUAGAUUUUUUUUUUUUUUUUAAGUAUUGUUGCAAGUAAAAAUAUACAGUAGAAGAAAACGAUUUCUAAUAUUUAACUCUAUCCUAAGAGAAAGUAGGAAACCAGAAAGAAUUUAACCUUUGUUCCCUUGAUCAAAAUGGGUGGUCCUACCCCCUGUAACCAGGAGACACACUUCCCCCCCAAAAAAAAAAUAUAGAAAGAGAGGAAUAGAAAAUCAACAGCAGAGAUUAGGACAGAGGAGGUUUAUGUUUAGAGGGAAAAAGGUGAAAGGAAUUUUAAAAAACAACAUUGCAUUGUGUCAUAAAGAAGGAAAUACUGCUCCCUCUUCUGUUUAUAAGAGGGAUUUUUUUCCAAAUCCUUAGAUCCAUCUUUUUAAAUUUUUAAAUGUAAAUGUUUAUAAUGAAAAAAAUGACAGUGUCAGCAUGGUGGGACAGCUUAUGUGAUUUAUUUAUAGUAAAAAAUGUUAAAUAAAUAAAUACUUUGCUGAGCCUAUGUUUUAAUGUUUGAAAACUGUAUAACCAAAAUUGACAUUUUAAAGGUGGAGGAAGGGACAAAAAGUCAUUUCACAUCAACAAAACUUUUUGUGUCAGCAUAAAUGAAUGUUAGAAUGACUAAUAAAAUUAUACACAAUCCAAGUCUGCAUAAAAUGUACUAAGUAAUGCAUCUAACUCUAAGUUCAAAUAAGGGGGAAAGCCAAUAUAUUAUUUAAAUGUCUGAAUUAUAAUGGAUGAAAUAACCUAAGGUCCAUAGACGUACCUUAAGGGACCUCUAAGAUAAGAGAGAUAAUUUAAAUUACUGAUUAGGAUUUUUUGAAAAAGGCAUUAAUGCUACAAUUUUCACAGAACAGAAAUGAUCUCCCAAAGUAUAGAAACAAUAUACUUGUAGCAUUAAAUUCAGGAUUUAAUUAAACCAACUAUAAAGAUGGAAUGUCUAUAAUCCUGAGUUAGCUUUUAUGCCUUAUUAAAAAUCCGACCAAAUGAUACAAUUAUUUUAAACUAUGGUGGAAAAGGGGGAAAAUAAUCUUUUGCGGGACACCAGUAGAUCGAUGAGAAAUGUAGUGCACAAAACACGCAGCUAUAGUACUGCAGAAAAAAAAUGUAAACAACAUUUUCCACCAGAUUUGUCUAAACAUUGAAAGAAUAUUGAGGUUGUGCAGAGGAGGUCUUGGCACUGAGUCCAGAAGCUGUACUUGGUAACUGGGGAGAGGGAAGAGGAGGUGAGUUUCCAUGGCAACACGGGUGCCCAAAGCAAAUGGAACUAGCAAGCAUCUUCCCAAGGGAGGCAGGGAGCAUGGAAAGUGGAAACAGAGGGGGAAGGGCAGUGGCAGCUUCUGAAAAGCUGGUUUAUGCUGAAUAAGUGUUUUGUGCAAAGCUGUGACGUGAUCCAUAUCAGAGUGUGUAUUCUGAGAGAGCUGACAUCCCCUUGUAACAUACUGCUUCAGGGAUUAAAGACCGCUUUUGCCUGGGAAUACAUAUUUGUCUUGCAAUUUCCCUUUUGGAUGUAUAAAGAUACUGAAGUCAUCUUGAUGCUCACACUGUCUCCUACCUUCACAAUAAAAUAAUAGGAGGUGACUAGAAUUUAAAUUUAUCUGUCUUUUUCUCUGUCAUUGUACCUGGGAGUCAAGUUUCUAGGGGAAAUAAAAAACCUUUGAUUUCCUUUUCUUAGCAGUCAAAGCAGAUUAGAAGUGGUUUCUCAUCCUUCUGAUUAUGAAACUGUGAUUCUCUCCUGACAACAGUGUUUCCUGUGUCACAAGGCAGUAUAAUAUUCCUAAGGAAUGAGACUAUAUAAAAGUUCACCUUAUUAAUCUGAUGAAAAUGAUCAAGAUUAAUCUUAUCUCAUUAUAAAAGGCUCAAUGUAAAGACUAAAACAGUAAUGGCACCAAGAAUAGGUGACAGAUGGAGAGCUAACUCUCUUCAACGCUCUGGAAAUAAACACGUUCCACAGAAGAAAGCCCUUUCAUUAGAGGUCAGAUUAUAUUGCAAAUUAGUACCAAGUAGAAGGGCCUGAUAAAAUAUGGACUUGGUUGCACAAGAGUUAAACUUACACCAUCACCUGAUGGUUUUAAUAAUAAAAAUCUGGAUCAGACUCUACACUGGUGUAUAAACUCUGUGAGGGCCAUGGCUAUGUCUACCUUUUUCACAUAAUAUUCCCAGCACCCCACAGAACCUGCACUUAGCAGAUACUCAAUACAUAUUUGUUUACUAUUGAAAAAGCAAGAUGAACCAUUUUUCAAAAUUGUGAGAUAGGACUUUAAAUGCACAGGAAAGAAAUGAACUUUUACUCACCAUCUUCAACAUCAUUAUUAAGGCCGCGUGCUCAUGUUCUCUUAUUUAAUACUCAACAAUACCUGGAAAGGUAAUUAUUAUCCCUAUUUUACAAAUGAGAAAAGAGAAUCCCAGGAGGGCUGUGACUUUCCCAAACUUACACCUCUGAAGAGGCUGAGACUCAAAUCCAGUCCUAUUCAAAUACCAUCCUUGUGAUGGUCCAGCUUUUCCACACUCCAUACUAUAGAUCAGAAUGCACAGACUCACUCCCACUUUGGUUUGAUCUGAAGAAUGAAAAUGCAAAGGAUUUUCUCAUUAUACUCAUACACCCCUUGGGACCCUCUGAAAGCUCAGGGAAUGAGGCACUGGCUCUACCAUCAACCCUGCCCCUUGGAAGGCAGUGGAGGGCAGGACCUGAAAUCCAAAGUUUCAUUAACCAAGUAUAAUUCUGAGACCUCCUGUACUGACCCAGCUUUUUCCAGAUCCAUCAAAACCCCUUCUCUUCUUUUAUCCUCCCUUUACUAAUUCCAUUUUUAAAAAUCAGUUCCAGUGAUUCCAACAGAACCUCCAUUCACUACCAAUAUGUUUUUCUAUGAACAUAGUCUCGUCAUAGAAUAAUCCCUCCACUGCACUUUCAUGGUUUUCUCUUUCAUAUGAAAAAGUUGUUCAUUUUUCUUCCCCCUAUAUUUCAAGAGCCAUAACACUCCUGAAUUCCCCCCAACAUUUUCAGACCAUCCUUCUUUCACCUUUGUUCAAAAAGAUAGGAUGCAGGAGUUCCCAUCAUGGCUCAUUGGGCUGAGAUCCCAACAUUGUCUCCAUGAGGAUGCAGGUUUGAUCCCUUGCUCAGUGG
rnacentral:lncRNA from 1 species